CGAGGACUGGCAGAGCUGGCGAGGGCAGGCCCAGGCUGGCGGGGAAGGCCCAGGCCCGACUUCCCGAGGCUUCUCUGCUGGGUGGCCUGGCAGGUAACUUCCCUACUCUGACCUCAGAAUUCUUAUUUGUAAUUGGUCCCCACAGGGCUGCUGGGUGGAUUUGGUGCCACAGGGCCUUGACACAAGCCGGCAUGGAUUCUGCAGGUGAAGCCACUGCUGAUCUGGAGAAGAUGUGGGGAAAGGACAGGGGGCCACCCUGGAACCCCUCCCCCUGGGCUGGGUGAUUGAGUGAAUGAGUGGGUGAGUGGACUGGGCAGUCAGUGGCAGUCUCACUUCCUGGGUGAUAUCAGGGUACCUUCCUAGGACACUCAACGCCUGGCUGACACUGGCAUCACAUGGGCUCCGGUGACAUCAUUGCUGGGACACAGACACAGACUUCUGAGAUCUCUUGAAGGGCCUCGUGGCCCCUGCUGGGGGAAGCGGCAGGAACUGGGCAGCCCUUUCCUGGUGCUCCCCUGAGCAAGGGGAAGGAGGCCUUAGGACCAGGACCCCAGUAUCCUGCCUCCCAUGCUUGCUCGCUAUAAAGAUAUCUGCAGCCUGGGAGGCUGCCCGGUCAACAUUGCGCAACUGAGACUGGGCUGAGAGGGCUCCCAGCCUCCACUGGCUUGGCUGGGACCAACCUCUCCAGGGAAACUUAGCACAUGGGAGCCUGACCAGUGAGGUUGUGGCACCCCAACUCCAGGUGUCCCCAGGCUUUGUGGAACAGACACGCCCUGUCUUGAAGCUGCAGAAUCCAUUAAAUAAUUCAGUGGUGUUUUUAAGAUCAUGAAGUUACCAGGUGACACACUUGGCGAUUGCAGCCACACUGAGGACAGGUGGCUCCUGCUGGGAGAUUACCACCUCUGCAAACAGGUCCCUGAGCAGCAACAGGUGUCCCUCACUGGGACCAGAAUCCGGGGGCCUGUGGCUGAAUGCAGAGGAGGAGGCUGGCCGUGGAUAACAGGGCAACAGCUGGUUUGGAGGUGGAGCCAGAGGGCAGCAACCAGGCCUGUGGCGUGGCAGUGACAGGCAGGUGAGGGUGGCCCUCUUGGAGCCGCAGCACCAGGAUGCACGAGCUCCAUAGCUUACCUGUCCAGGUGACACCAGGACAUGGCUGUUGUCCUUCUGUGUGAUGUAGUUGGAUAUUGCAUGUAGCAAUAGUUCUGAGCCUUUGGGGUUCAUCUGCAACUUCCUGUACCGUCUCAUUUCAAGCUAAAGUCUAACCCAGGAGGCAAAUAGUCCCACUUCAGAGAUGAGACAGUUGAAGCUCAGAAAAGAUAAGGAUACUGUCUGAUGCCACACAACUAACAAGAACUUGAUCAGAAUUCGAGGCACAACUGCCCUCCAGCGCACACAUCACACGUCAGCUGCAGGGAGGUCAGCAAUCAUUAGGCUCCUGGCCAAGCAUGUUCCUGAAAUACCCCAGCCUCAUUUCUCCAACAAAUGUUUGGCCAAGGAGGUUGGUGAGGGGACUGAUUGUCCAAACCACAGGGAAGUCUCUAGUGGGAUGAUGCUGGGCUCUGUCCUGGAGGGAAGUCUGACACUCAGAGGCCUGCCCUAGAGCAGACCUCCUACUGUGGCCAAUGUUGGGGGGGUCCUAGGAGGAGACCAAUCCAGUGACCUUCUGCCCGACCAAAUAAGUCUUCAAUGUGGCUUUGGAAACCCACUCUAUAUGCAAGAUCUGACUUUGUUAAGGAAAGUUUCUGAGGACUUUGGUGGCCCCAAAGAAUGCCACGGGCCUCAGGUCUCAGGGCCCAGAUGGAGAGUCUAAGUAUCCCUGCCCUUGGGAUGCAAGUUAGAAGCAGACUAGACUAAUCUGGAAGGAGGGAAAUCCUUUGGUGAAUUGGAGGUGGGGCUGGGCAGCUUCCUAAUUUGGUCAUAUCCCAGGGGGCAAGAGGGGGAUGAGAGAGGUCAGCACAGUCAGGGGCGUCAGCCCAGGCUUCCUGGCAGCACUAGGAGAGAGCAGGCCCUAGAGACCCUGUCUGGAUCAGAGAGCAGAGCCCUGGAGGCCGGAUGCAGUGGCCGUGGGAAGGCAGGACUCAGGUCCCCAGACACAAACUCACUCCCCACCCCAGGCCCCACACGGAGGUGCUGCCUGUCUCCCCAGUGUGGCAGCCAGGGCCCGACGUCAUAGUGAGUCACCAGGCUCCAUUGGGUUCCCCUGAGCUGGGGAAGGUGAGGCUGGGGCUCUCCACAGUCUGGAGGGGCCCCAUUCCAGGUCAUUAUCCCCCACAAAAGAUGCAGGUGGGUCCUACCCAGCCUCUUCUUGCCAGAAAUGAGCUCAUUUCACCAUAGGGCUUUGAUGGAUCCUUAUACCCAUUUACAGAUGGGAAAUGUGAGGCUACAGAGCACCAUGUGAAAGACCCACAAAGGGCAAAGCCAACACAGGCUGGACGACCUUAACAAGGUACUGAGCUUCAAGUGGCCAGCAGUAAGUGUAUCUGAACCCUCAGAAUACAUCACUGAGUCCCUGCUUUCUGGGGAGCUGGGCCACCUCCCAACUUUUGGCAGCGUGUGAGGGGCUCAGACCUGAGAAAAGGGUCAAGGAGGACAGGAACCAAGGAAUUUGGUGUUUAGGGGGUUUUUCGGGGGCAGGUACUAGGGAUUGAACUCAAGGGCACUCGACCACUGAGCCACCUCCCCAGAGCUAUUCUGUAUUUUAUUUAGAGACAGGGUCUCACUGAGUUGCUUAGCAUCUCACCAUUGCUAAGGCUGGCUUUGAACCUGCGAUCCUCCUGCCUCAGCCUCCCGAGCCGCUGGGAUUACAGGCAUGCGCCACCGUGCCCAGCCAGAACCAAGGAAUUUGUGACUCACGAAUCUGUACCUGGUCCUCUGGGCAGCCACGAGGAUGAGGCUGCCCAACACUGUGAAUGGAAUCAACGCCACC
rnacentral:lncRNA from 1 species